rnacentral:tRNA from 1 species
CCGUUCUUAGUUUAUUAGAAUAAUAGUUUGUCGUACUAUGGGGAGUCGCGCUUGAGCGGCUAGAUCGGG